rnacentral:rRNA from 1 species
AUUGAACGCUGGCGGCAGGCCUAACACAUGCAAGUCGAACGGUAGCACAGAGAGCUUGCCCUCGGGUGACGAGUGGCGGACGGGUGAGUAAUGCCUGGGAAACUGCCCGAUGGAGGGGGAUAACUACUGGAAACGGUAGCUAAUACCGCAUAACGUCGCAAGACCAAAGUGGGGGACCUUCGGGCCUCACACCAUCGGAUGUGCCCAGAUGGGAUUAGCUAGUAGGUGGGGUAAUGGCUCACCUAGGCGACGAUCCCUAGCUGGUCUGAGAGGAUGACCAGCCACACUGGAACUGAGACACGGUCCAGACUCCUACGGGAGUCAGCAGUGGGGAAUAUUGCACAAUGGGCGCAAGCCUGAUGCAGCCAUGCCGCGUGUAUGAAGAAGGCCUUCGGGUUGUAAUGUACUUUCAGCGGGGAGGAAGGCGGCGAAGUUAACAGCUUCACCGAUUGACGUUACCCGCAGAAGAAGCACCGGCUAACUCCGUGCCAGCCGCCGCGGUAA